UCUUCUGUGCUGUGCAUCCUUCAGUCCAGGCUCAGGAGAGUGAGAUUCCAAGGGGGACAGGAGUGGGCCUUGCUGGGGGCGGGGGGCGCUCAAAGACCAGACCUGGUCCAUCUGAUUAAGUGCUGACAACACUUCCAGAGAAGGUGGUAUCUGAAGGGCCACCAGGGAACAGGGUGUCUUGAGAAAGUUGAUGGCACAAAACGUGUAUGAUAAUGCUCACCUGUCUGCUCUUGCCACCACGGCUCUGCAAAGCCUUCCCAGACAUCACAUAUCUGAGAUAUUGAUUGCAGCAGAAGGAGGCCUGAGUCAAAAUGUAGAAAGGUAAGUGUUCUGGGGGCCUGGGCAGAAGGACAUGUUAAAAACAAACUAAGACUCUAGAGGAAGCCAGAGCCUAGAGGAGCGGGUAUGUUUAGCCAAAUG